GGCGGCGUGCGCGCCGUGAGCCCCGCCGCCUCCCCGGAGCCCGGAGCUGCCCGCUCGGAGCUGCCCGCCCGGCGGCGACUGCGCGGGCCGCCACUCAGCUAGCUGAACCACGGAGCCUGGGCCAGGCCACCAUGUGGGACUGUGGCCUGCUCAAUGGGACAGGGCAGAGCGCAGACCAGGAGGCCUGCCAGGACCUGCACCUGGGGCUGUCAGUGUUGGCGCUGCUCUACCUGGCCGUGGGCUUCCCAGUGGGCCUAUGCUACAAUGCCCUGCUGGUGCUAGUCAACCUGUACAACAAGCGCAGCAUGACCAUGCCGGAUGUGUACUUUGUGAACAUGGCUGUGGCAGGCUUGGUCCUCAAUGCCCUGGCCCCUGUGUACCUGCUGGGCCCCCCCAAUGCCCGCUGGGCCCUAUGGAGUGUCAGCAGUGAGGUGCAUGUCACACUGCUGGUCCUCUUCAAUGUCUCAGCUCUGGUGAUCAUGUACUCCACCACCCUGCUUAGCCUCGACUACUACAUCGAACGCGCCCUGCCGCGUACCUACAUGGCCAGUGUGUACAACACCCGGCACGUGUGUGGCUUUGUCUGGGGUGGGGCCCUGCUGACCAGCUUUUCAUCCCUGCUCUUCUACAUCUGCAGCCAUGUGUCCUCCAGGGUUGUUGAGUGCUCCAAGAUGCAGAACACAGAGGCUGCUGACGCCAUCAUGGUGCUCAUUGGGUUUGCAGUGCCAGCCCUUGCUGUUCUGUAUGCACUGGUGCUCAUCUCGCGGAUCCGGAAGGAAGACACACCCCUUGACCAGGAUGUGGGGAGGCUGGACCCUUCAGUGCACAGGCUUCUGGUAGCCACUGUGUGCACACAGUUUGGACUCUGGACGCCUUACUACCUGACUCUCCUCGGCCACACGGUUCUAGUCUCGCAAGGGAAGCCUGUGGAUGGGCACUACAUGGGGAUAGUGCACUUUGCUAAGGAUUUGUCGAAAUUCUUGGCUUUCUCUAGUAGCUUUGUAAUGCCACUUCUUUACCGCUACAUCAACAAAAACUUCCCUAACAAGCUCCGGCGGUUGAUAAAGAAAAUGCACUGCGGGCCCCGGCGUUGUCCCCCUGACCAGACAGGGGUUCAGCAGGUGAUGACGUAGACACAGUCUGAUGCUGGGACCACCUGAGCUCACGGAAGCAACUGUCACACCUGGGAGCACUGAGGCGGUGGCAAAUGAGCUAAGGCUUCUGCCCUCCUCCCUCCUCCCACUGGGGUCUCUCAUCCGGGAGUCAAGAUGACCACGAGGUAACUGAAGUUCAGCUGGAUGCAUAGCACUUUGUUUCCUUGGCCACUAGAGCGUGUUCUUCCCCAGAAACAGAUGUGCUGAGGCAAGAACAGGACAAGGGGUGUUUUUCUUGAAGUAUUCUAUGUGUUUCCCAAAAAGGCCAACUUCAGGCCAAGGCCACGUUCAAAGCGACAGGUCGGCAUGUGAAGAAUACACUGCGUUCUUAGUACUGACCUGCUCUCUCCUUCAGGUGUGUGCAUUUCUCCUGAGUACACAUCUCGAAGGCCCACGUUCUCAAACUAUUAUAUUUACCUUCCGCCUCCUCAACAUUAAGCUUUCUAAAUGAAGUGAUGAACACCUAAAGCCAGUAUUUAUACUUUGUUUGCAAUGUUAAAAUACUUGAUUUCUCCCUCCCGUUUUUGUUUUUGGUUUUGGUUUUGAUUUUUUUUUUUUAAAGAGAUGUUCAACAGAAAAUUAAAAUGAAGGCGACAAUACAAAGGCCUGCCAGGAGGAGACUGGGUGGAUGGAUGCUGCUGUCACAUGCUGUGCUGUUGGUGAUGCAGCUAUGCACGGAGUAAGGACGGCAGGCCAGCAGGGCCUGCCACAGUCACACACAGGAGUUAUUAAAAUAUUUUUUUAAGCAUCAGGGAUGUGGCUGGUCUUAAACAAGGAGUAAUUAAGUAGCAACUGAAGCUCUCUCAUCUACUAAAUGUACUUGAAACCACCUCCCCCCCCAUGACUCCCAGAUAUCAGCUGAUUUUUCUUUUUUCACUAUGGAGCUUUCUAAAUCAGUUUCCCAAACUGCAAAACUAAAGAAUAUAUGAAGAAAGGGAAAAAAAAGUUAGGAUAUCUAACUUAAUAUUGAAGCUAAAAGGGCCUCCCCUGGGGAAGAGGUCUAGAUGUUGGGGGAAGAGUCACUCUCAGUUCAACAAGAAGGGACAGGACACAAGCUGGCUACCCAAGAUGGCCAGGGCCCAACAUCUCUCCUUUGCUUAGAUCCUCUAUGCUUACAGGGACAGAUAGCCCAGAUGGGCCUGUUGCACUCAGAGAUGCAUGUGGAUGUCAGCCAGAAGGUGGUGCAAGUGAGGCACCUCCCUCACAGGCCAGGCACAGAGGUGUUGGCAAUCUAAGCCAAUUAUUUGCCUCAUCCACCCAGCUCUAGACAUUCUACCAUCCCAGUUUUUGUAAGCCUCCUCAAACUGUCCAUUCACCUCUACCCAGUUCGCUAGGACUAAAUUACAGGCCCAUAGUCCCCCAAUCCUUAAACCCAAGAAGGCUGUGAAAAUGAGAUUCCCCAAUGCCAAGUUUGCAGCAGAUUCAUUUGCUAGCAAGUCCUGACUGAAAUGAUGUGAGGUACUUUCUUGACCUGCUGUUUCUGAAGGAAGGCUAAUAUGACUGUGGUGUGCUGCUGGCUCAUGGUAUUCUGAGAUACAUGAUACAUAUACAGCAUAUUUUUUUUCUGACAACCUGAAAACAUCUGAAUUCUGAAAUAUGCCUGGUCCCCAGGACUGCAGAGCACAGCUCUGCACUUUGUGGCCACCGUACGUGGUGACCUCAUACUCGUCCUGGUCUCUUGAGGAAUUUAGUUAUGAAUUAGUUGUCCUAUUUAUUACAUUUGAACCAUAGCUCCUCAAAGCAUGAGGUGACUGAGUUAGAGUUUGCCUGUGAAGUAUGAUGAAAAUACACUGGACACUAUAGCUGCUGCUGUGAUAACUGCCCUAGUAGCUGUGACAUGCUGAGGAGUCAGCUUCCUUAUCUGUAGACUAUGGGGCUAAAUGGAAAGACAAUUUUCUGAAUUGUUUCUGAAAUUUCUGCUGAAGGUAUGCCAGGGUCUCAUUCAAAUCUUGAAAGCUGCAGCCUGACUUUCCUUCCCGAGCACAGAGCUGGCCAUUUCUCUGAGGUACAGUCUCCAGAGUUUCCCAUCCAGUUGUUACACUUGAAAACCUAGGUGUUCACUGAAGAACCAGUACCGAAAUCCAGCCUGGCCCGACAGUGGAUGGCUUGCUGGUGUUUAACUCUGCCAUUCUCUUAGAAAUGAACAGGCCUGGGGGCAGGAUCAAGCCAAGGGCAGAUAGACUUUCUAGUCAGUAGAGGAAAAAGGAUCUAGACAGGCAUGACCAGUUUGUGGUGGUGGUGUCAUGCUGAAAAUAAGAGACUCUUCCUUGCUGCUAUUUCCUGCACCUUUUGCCCAGCCAGAGUUCCUGGGAAAGGGGCAGAUGUCACAAACAGAUCAGAAUAGCCACUGAGAUCUCUCUGACCCUGCCUCGAAAUACCACUACCCAACUAGUCUGCCC